rnacentral:rRNA from 1 species
CGCUAGCUACAGGCUUAACACAUGCAAGUCGAGGGGCAGCAUGGUCUUAGCUUGCUAAGACUGAUGGCGACCGGCGCACGGGUGAGUAACACGUAUCCAACCUGCCGUCUACUCUUGGACAGCCUUCUGAAAGGAAGAUUAAUACAAGAUGGCAUCAUGAGUCCACAUGUUCACAUGAUUAAAGGUAUUCCGGUAGACGAUGGGGAUGCGUUCCAUUAGAUAGUAGGCGGGGUAACGGCCCACCUAGUCUUCGAUGGAUAGGGGUUCUGAGAGGAAGGUCCCCCACAUUGGAACUGAGACACGGUCCAAACUCCUACGGGAGGCAGCAGUGAGGAAUAUUGGUCAAUGGGCGAGAGCCUGAACCAGCCAAGUAGCGUGAAGGAUGACUGCCCUAUGGGUUGUAAACUUCUUUUAUAAAGGAAUAAAGUCGGGUAUGCAUACCCGUUUGCAUGUACUUUAUGAAUAAGGAUCGGCUAACUCCGUGCCAGCAGCCGCGGUAAUACGGAGGAUCCGAGCGUUAUCCGGAUUUAUUGGGUUUAAAGGGAGCGUAGAUGGAUGUUUAAGUCAGUUGUGAAAGUUUGCGGCUCAACCGUAAAAUUGCAGUUGAUACUGGAUAUCUUGAGUGCAGUUGAGGCAGGCGGAAUUCGUGGUGUAGCGGUGAAAUGCUUAGAUAUCACGAAGAACUCCGAUUGCGAAGGCAGCCUGCUAAGCUGCAACUGACAUUGAGGCUCGAAAGUGUGGGUAUCAAACAGGAUUAGAUACCCUGGUAGUCCACACGGUAAACGAUGAAUACUCGCUGUUUGCGAUAUACAGCAAGCGGCCAAGCGAAAGCGUUAAGUAUUCCACCUGGGGAGUACGCCGGCAACGGUGAAACUCAAAGGAAUUGACGGGGGCCCGCACAAGCGGAGGAACAUGUGGUUUAAUUCGAUGAUACGCGAGGAACCUUACCCGGGCUUAAAUUGCAGAUGAAUUACGGUGAAAGCCGUAAGCCGCAAGGCAUCUGUGAAGGUGCUGCAUGGUUGUCGUCAGCUCGUGCCGUGAGGUGUCGGCUUAAGUGCCAUAACGAGCGCAACCCUUGUUGUCAGUUACUAACAGGUCCUGCUGAGGACUCUGACAAGACUGCCAUCGUAAGAUGUGAGGAAGGUGGGGAUGACGUCAAAUCAGCACGGCCCUUACGUCCGGGGCUACACACGUGUUACAAUGGGGGGUACAGAGGGCCGCUACCACGCGAGUGGAUGCCAAUCCCCAAAACCUCUCUCAGUUCGGACUGGAGUCUGCAACCCGACUCCACGAAGCUGGAUUCGCUAGUAAUCGCGCAUCAGCCACGGCGCGGUGAAUACGUUCCCGGGCCUUGUACACACCGCCCGUCAAGCCAUGGGAGCCGGGGGUACCUGAAGUGCGUAACCGCGAGGAGCGCCCUAGGGUAAAACUGGUGACUGGGG